UUUGAACUUACAUUUGUGGAAGUAGCAUAAGCUUCUAUAAAAGCUUCACAAUUCACAAUUCUUAACAUUACUUUCUUUUUCUUACCUCUCUUCCUCUCAUGAUGAACAUCGAAUCUGCGUUGUUCACCUUUGCUCUUAUUGAUACGGGUGCUCUUCUUUUCCUGUCAAUCUACUUCAUCAUUACCUUGUCAGACUUGGAGUGUGAUUACAUUAACUCUCGGGAUUGCUGUGAUAAACUUAAUCCACUGGUUAAAUUUGAAUUCUGCGGCCAUGGUUUGUUGACAAUCGCCCUUCUAUUGACCGGCCAUUGGAUACUCUUUAUAAUCAAUGCGCCAUUAACUAUUUGGAUGAUUUACAGGUAUUGCUCAGUGCCACAAGGCAACAUGGGUCUAUUUGAUCCGACAGAAAUUUAUCACAAAGGAAAUCUAAAGCAAUAUACAACACAUUCCAUCAUGCACCUAUGUUUUCAGCUGAUUCACUUUUUUGUAUUCCUUUACUGUUUGAUAAUUUCUUUACUCACAAGUAGUUGAAGCUUAAAUCACAUGAUUUGAAUCAAAAUCACACCCAAGUUGAUAAAUCCAUAAAUUCGUCAAUUUUAAUACUAUUUUAUGAUCUCAUGUGGUAGGGUUAAAUUAUUUGAAUGAAAACAAUUUUUCACUACACUUUAAAAAAAUUUUGCUAAAAUAAUAUUGUAACUUUUUAAAACAUUUCAUUUUGCAACUUCACUCGAACUAGACUUUAUUAAAACUCGCCAUUUUAUUUUAUUCUGUAAAUAAAGCAAGAUAGAGUUAGAUGUCAUCCAAAAAUCAAAUCAAAAAUCAAAUGUUUAUUACAUUAAAAGCUCCACAUAUCACUUCGAUUUUCA